GACGAUUAUCAUCGGAUUCAAGCUAACCAGCCACUUUGAGGGCCGAUCCGCCUUCGAGGAACCGAGAUAGCCUGAUGUCAAUCAUCACCUCCAAUCAGCAGGGAAAUCUGGCAUAUCGGUAGUGUAGGAGCCAUUUGUGAUGAGGUUACUUUAAUGACCCCUGCUGGCUAAUCCUGACCUUGCGGCCUUGGAGGGCCUUGGAACGGGGAGUUGGGGUUGCACACCUGUGCCAAUUAGUAGGUCAGGGGAAGACAAAGGAUGAGCCCUUGACAGAGUUUGGGGUUUUUCUUUGGAAUCGAAUGUUGGAGACUUCCUCCCUGGCAACCAUCACAGAAAAUGGGAUACAUGGAGCAUCUUCAGGGAUGAUGUUGGGAAGAGCAGUGACUGAAAAUGGAAAAAAGCACUUCAGCCAGUGGACAUCAAAGACUUUGUUCGUGCGGAAGUAACUAAUAUUUAAUGAAAACAAUUUGAAGUCCAUCAAGAGGUCUGAGGUUGUUUUCAAACAAAUUGGCAUGUUUCCCAGGUUUUCUUCCUUUUUUGGCUUUAAGACUAUGUCUGCUAUGUUGCACUUAGGAUUCAUGAUUGCAGAUGGUGUUGGAAAGAAUUACGUAAUGCAUUUGGCCACAUAUUUUAACGACAUUCAGACAGCAGAAGCAGCCUGGCGUAGCUCCAGGAGGCGGGCCACAAUCAACAUUGUUGAAACGUUUCCUUAACGAAAACGGAAAUUAUGUCUGUUAUGGUGUUCAUAUCGGUUUUAAUAAAAAUACAUUUUCAUAUUAUUUAUGGUUGAAUUUGUUUUUUCCAUUGAUUGCAUAUUCAAUAAUCUGACAUAUUCCCAAUUAAU
ensembl:lncRNA